rnacentral:pre_miRNA from 1 species
UAUAAUUUUUGACUCUUCAUUUUAUUUAAAUUUUUUUACGAUUAAUAUUUUUAUUUUUAUUAGAUAAUAAAUUAUAAAUAGUAUUUUACGUGUGACUAUUUUUUUCUAAUUUUCUAAAAUUAUUUUAAAAUAAGACGGACUGUCAAACCUUGUAUACGGAAAAC